GGGUCAGUAGGUUGGUCGUGCCACCGGUACGUACUGGUCUCACUGAUUCCUUCUUCCUGAAGAACCGUAAUGCCAUUAAUUUGGUGUUGCGGGGAAACAGGACUGUUACUUUGAAAAAAUUAGAGUGUUUAAAGCAAGCUAACGCUUGAAUACAUUAGCAUGGAAUAAUGAAAUAGGACGAUCGAUCCUAUUUUGUUGGUUUCUAGGAUUGACGUA
rnacentral:rRNA from 1 species